UACGUAGGGGGCUAGCGUUGUCCGGAAUCAUUGGGCGUAAAGAGCGUGUAGGCGGCCCGGUAAGUCCGCUGUAAAAGUCAAAGGCUCAACCUUUGAAUGUCAGUGGAUACUGCCGGGCUAGAGUCCGGAAGAGGCGAGUGGAACUCCUGGUGUAGCGGUGGAAUGCGCAGAUAUCAAGAGGAACACCUGAGGUGAAGACGGGUUGCUGGGCCGACACUGACGCUGAUGCGCGAAAGCCAGGGGAGCAAACGGG
rnacentral:rRNA from 1 species